UACGGAGGGGGCUAGCGUUGUUCGGAAUUACUGGGCGUAAAGCGCACGUAGGCGGACCAGCAAGUUAGGGGUGAAAUCCCGGGGCUCAACCCCGGAACUGCCUUUAAAACUGUUGGUCUGGAGGUCGAGAGAGGUGAGUGGAAUUCCGAGUGUAGAGGUGAAAUUCGUAGAUAUUCGGAGGAACACCAGUGGCGAGGCGGCUCACUGGCUCGAUACUGACGCUGAGGUGCGAAAGCGUGGGGAGCAAACAGG
rnacentral:rRNA from 1 species